GUCUCGGCUCCACGUCCGAACCGCCCGGACCCGGUUCCGAAAGGGCCCGACACUCACAGAGAGCAGAGCCAUGGUGUCAGCUACUCUCCCUGGGCUUCACUUCCCUCACUGCAUGGAUGGACCUGUGAGCUGACAGUGGCGUGAAAGUGGCCUUAAAGUGAGGUCAUAUUCUACACUUGAGAUGGCUGUGUCAUGCUUUGCAUGUGAAGAACUUUACCGUGCAGUGGGGGUGUCUUGCCUCCUUGGGGACCAUCUUCUUCCUCUCCACGAUCAAAGGGAUUGAGGCGGGUUUGGCGGAAAAUUGCAAGUCUCUCAUCAUACUCCAUUUCAUCAGCUACAUCUACAGAAGAGAGAAUACAGAUUACCUCAGACUUUACAAAGCCACAACUGCUAUGUGAAGAGGUUUUAGAAACUGGUCCACAGAUUCUAUUAAAAACAGAAAUAUCAUGAAUAAAACGUGGACUGCUUUCCAUAACCUCUACAAUGAAUGAAGGAAACGGUGCACUCUGAUUGCUCAGCUGCAUCAGUUAGCCUGAUGUCCCUGACCUAAACUGUUUGUAAGAUACAGCAAAACAGUAUGGUUUAUGGAUAUUCCAUCAAUUUACACCAGUUUGUCAUAUUGUCUGCCAUGCUGAAUCUUCAGUGUAAACACACUGCAAUAACCACUUGAAAUAAACUGAAAACUGA